CGAGCCGAAAUGAACUCAAACGAACUUUGUUUCGGCCUGAAUUGUUUGAAAUGACAUCAUAUCAGUUCGUUCUUCGAUUUUGUUUGAAUUACAUCGGGCCUUUACAAGAUAACACGAUGUAACCUUGCUCUCACUUGAAAUGUGUCCCCACAUCAAGUCCUUGAAUUUGAGGGUAUUGGAUCUGGAAAGUCCUUGAAAGGUCCUUGAAUUUGAAGUUAAUCAAGGUGUGGGAACCCUGAUCAGAAUGUGAGGGAUUUUUAAUAUUUACCGAAAUUAUGUACAUGAAGGUAUUGAAGCUAGGUUCAUUAUCAGUUGUUGGUGACACAAGGUCUGUUAAAUAUUUAUUUCAUUUUUGAGCGUUUUCAUAUUUUUCAACCCAUGAAGUAUAGGCCUAUUUAUUAUUUAGAGGCCAAAAAUGUUUAAUCUGAGAAGCCAUGUUUAGGGUGUAAUUAUUUUAUGAUUGCUGGCUUCAUAGAAAUUACUUGAUUUAACUAUAGACUGAUACAUUUAUGUAAAUAAGAGACACCAUCAAAAAAUGUAUUUUUCACUUAAAUAAAAUGUUCUGGAAUAAUAUGAUUACAGUGAAAUUUGGGUGAACAUGAUUUGUAUUAUUAAUUUUCUUUAUCUUGUUUGUUUGGUGAAAACAGUGAAACUCAUUGUGGAGGAAGAGCAACUAUCACACAUUUGACAAAUAUUAUAAUCUGCAGGUCUGAGAUUUGAGGGGUUUUCAGCAGCGCUUCAACAAUGAAACAUCAGCUCUGAAAAUAAUCAUCAUCAGAUGUCAUGAUCAGUUAGUUGAUGUGUGUCAGUGAUGUCACGUUACAGCAGCAGAAACACAUCAAGCUCUGAACAGAUUCAUGCUUUCCUCCUGCUGCUUAAGUCAAAUAUGUUCAGUAAGACACAAGAGCAUCAGUGAGCUCAGAUACGACGAUGCUCAUGAGGAUCACUCUUCAGAUCUUCUUCACUGCAGUCAGUAAAGCAUCACUUUAUGGAUUCAGAAGAACAAACUGCUGCAGCUGCUGAGUCUGAAGCCCCACAUUCUCUUCAGUCUCAUUGUCAGUUUCUGGUUAUGGAGAACAGAGAGAGAUCUUCAUCUCCUGAUUAUAGCUGUUUGUCUCUGAAGAGUGAUGGAUCCAUGGUGUAUAAUCCUCCUAAUUUCAGUAAUGAUCCAGUGACCUCUAACCCCAGGUGAGAUAUAAUCCAGUAAAGUGAAAGAAAGUGAAUGGCGUGUGCCCAAGUAUGGUAAGCCACACACCCUUUUUGCUGCAGCGCCUUAAUCCUAACCAUUGCGCAUCAUAUGCACACCAAAGUCAAUUUCUGCUUUAUGCAAAAUAGAAACAGAAAAUCGUGGUAUUGAUACGCAUUUUCAUGUGAUUGGGCAGCUACCGUUAGAGCGAGCGGCAUGUAAUGUUGCUGCUACUAACAUGUUUACAUUUACAUUUAAUCAUUUAGCAGACGCUUUUAUCCAAAGCGACUUACAAAUGAGAACAAUAGAAUCAAUCAGAUCAACAAGAGAACAACAACGGUAUACAAGUUCCAUGACAAGUCUCAGUUAGUCUAGUACAGAACACAUAGCCAGGGUUUUUUUAUUUUUUAAAGAAUAUGAUAGACAAGAAAAGAAAAGGUAAGUACUAGUAUUAGUUGGUUAAGUGCUGGCGAAAAAGAUGAGUCUUUAGAUGUUUUUUGAAAAUGAGUAAAGACUCAGCUGUUCGAAUUGAGAUCGGGAGGUCAUUCCACCAGCUGGGCGCAGUUCAGGAAAAGGUCUAUGAGAGUGAUUUUGAACCUCUUUGGGAUGGCACCACAAGGCGUCGUUCACUUGCAGAGCGAAAACUUCUGGAGGGUGCAUAAGAUUGAACUAAUGAGCUUAGGUAUGUUGGUGCUGUGCCAGUGGUCGUCUUGUAGGCAAGCAUCAGUACCUUGAAUUUGAUGCGAGCGGCUACUGGUAGCCAGUGUAACCUGAUGAGAAGAGGAGUAACGUGAGCUGUUUUUGACUCAUUGAAGACAACCCUCGCUGCUGCAAUCUGGAUCAGUUGCAGAGGCUUGAUAGUACAUGCAGGAAGGCCCGCCAGGAGAGCAUUACAGUAGUCCAGUCUGGAGAGAACAAGAGCUUGGACAAGAAGUUGGGUGGCUUGCUCUGACAGAAAGGGUCUAAUCUUCCUAAAGUUGUAUAAGGCAAAUCUGCAGGACCGGGUCAUCGUAGCAAUAUGGUCUGUGAAGCUGAACUGAUGAUUCAUCACAACUUCUAAGUUUCUGGGUGUCCUGGAAGGAGUUAUGGUUGACGAACCCAGCUGUAUAGAGAAGUAAUAGUCCAGUCUGGAGAGAACAAGAGCUUGGACAAGAAGUUGGGUGGCUUGCUCUGACAGAAAGGGUCUAAUCUUCCUAAAGUUGUAUAAGGCAAAUCUGCAGGACCGGGUCAUCGUAGCAAUAUGGUCUGUGAAGCUGAACUGAUGAUUCAUCACAACUUCUAAGUUUCUGGGUGUCCUGGAAGGAGUUAUGGUUGACGAACCCAGCUGUAUAGAGAAGUUGUGAUGAAACGUUGGGUUAGCUGGAACCACCAGCAGUUCUGUCUUAGUAAGGUUGAGCUGAAGGUGAUGGUCAUUCAUCCAGCUAGAAAUGUCACUCAGACAGGCUGAAAUGCGAGCAACUACCGUUGGGUCAUCUGGUUGGAAUGAGAAGUAGAGUUGAGUGUCAUCAGUGUAGCAGUGAUAGGAAAAGCCAUGCUUCUGAAUGACAGAUCCUAAUGACAUCAUGUAGAUGGAGAAGAGAAGUGGUCCAAGUACUGAGCCUUGCAAGUAGCCAGUAGCAAGUUGUUGUGACUUAGAAACUUCACCCCUCCAAGACACCUUGAAGGAUCUAUCAGAAAAGUAGGACUUAAACCACUGGAGUGCUGUUCCAGAGAUGCCCAUCUUUCUGAGGGUGGACAGGAGAAUCUGGUGAUUAACAGUGUCAAAAG
rnacentral:lncRNA from 1 species